CCGCCGGCGACCGGCGCACGGGUGAGUAACACGUAUGCAACCUGGCCGUGACAGAUGGAUAACCGGGAGAAAUCCCGCCUAAUACAAACAUAAUGCCGGGAGGGGACAUCCCCUGCCGGCCAAAGGGGGCGACCCCGGUCACGGAUGGGCAUGCGGCGCAUUAGGUAGUUGGCGGGGCAACGGCCCACCAAGCCGACGAUGCGUAGGGGUUCUGAGAGGAAGGUCCCCCACAUUGGAACUGAGACACGGUCCAAACUCCUACGGGAGGCAGCAG
rnacentral:rRNA from 1 species